rnacentral:rRNA from 1 species
GAUGAACGCUAGCGGCAGGCCUAACACAUGCAAGUCGAGGGGUAGCAGGAUUAAGCUUGCUUAAUUGCUGACGACCGGCGCACGGGUGCGUAACGCGUAUGCAACCUACCUUAUACUGGGGUAUAGCCCGGAGAAAUUCGGAUUAAUCCCCCAUAGUACUAAUGAAUCGCAUGGUUUAUUAGUUAAAGCAUUGCGGUAUAAGAUGGGCAUGCGUCCUAUUAGCUAGAUGGUGAGGUAACGGCUCACCAUGGCUACGAUAGGUAGGGGGCCUGGGAGGGUGGGCCCCCACACUGGUACUGAGACACGGACCAGACUCCUACGGGAGGCAGCAGUGAGGAAUAUUGGUCAAUGGGCGCAAGCCUGAACCAGCCAUGCCGCGUGCAGGAAGAAUGCCCUAUGGGUUGUAACUGCUUUUAUUUGGGAAUAAACCUCUUUACGUGUAGAGAGCUGAAGGUACCAAAUGAAUAAGCACCGGCUAACUCCGUGCCAGCCGCCGCCGUAA